AACCGCCGCCGCCGCCGCCGCCGCCGACUCCCACCAUGUAACAGAUGGCUUGGAAUGCCUGUCUACACAGUACACUUCUACAGCGCUGCAACUACACCAGUCUGGCGUCGAUCUUUUGUUCACUUCUUGCUUGUUGUAUGUAUCGCGUACUGUUGAACGUCCAUUUUAUGUUCUCACCAUUUCCGAGCCCACAGCAAAUGUCAGCAAUCGCUUUCCGUGGGAUUCACCGUCUCGGUCGUCGUAACGUUAAUAAUAGGUGUCGGUCCCAUUUUCAGUUCCUACAGGUUUUCGUUUCGAUGGUGAGAACUUCUUGAUUCAUUACUGGGUGAUUGUAGAACAGUCUCGUCAUGAAAGCCGGAGCGGCUGCGUUGAACACUGAUCCCAUCCAGAGCAAGGACGAUAGUUGUUUGUCGUGCAGAGUAUCCGGAUCUGUUACUUUCCUACUAGUUGCUGCAUAUUUUGUUUUGGUUGCAAGCACGUGAAACUCAUGUAUUACUUUGGAACUCCAAGUAUGAUAUAUCUAGCUGUGGCAAGAGAAAUAGAUUUGACACCUUUUAGCGGUUAACAUUUCAAUACCAACUAUGUGUUCAGCAUUUACAUUAUGGUUACAAAGAUUCACUAUUAGUGUAUCCGGAUCUGUUACUUUCCUACUAGUUGCUGCAUAUUUUGUUUUGGUUGCAAGCACGUGAAACUCAUGUAUUACUUUGGAACUCCAAGUAUGAUAUAUCUAGCUGUGGCAAGAGAAAUAGAUUUGACACCUUUUAGCGGUUAACAUUUCAAUACCAACUAUGUGUUCAGCAUUUACAUUAUGGUUACAAAGAUUCACUAUUAGACUGACAAGAAAGUGCUUGCGUCAACUUUGGUUCAAAUUACAUCUGAAAAAGUCCUAUCUAGAACUCUACUAUAUUGUAGUGGGCUGUAGUGUGCCAACAACUGGACGUUGAUAAGUAGAGCGGAUUUGAAAGCAUUUACAUAUUUAUUCUGGUUAAUCAUAUGAUAUGCUUAGUGAGAACAAUAUUUGUUUCAUGAUAUUUUCAUGGUCUACUAUUUUAAUGACACCUAUGUUAGUAAUCACUUUUCUUUGUGCGAUUUAAAAUUAAUAUUUUCAUGUCUACUAUUUUAAUGAUACCUAUGUUAGUAAUCGUUUUUCUUUGUGCGAUUUAAAAUUAAUAUUUUCAUGUCUACUAAUUAACACGUUGACUGCGUAUGUCUUUUUGCAUUUCCCGCCCAGUGCGUACGUUACUUUUUUCAUCAAAUUUAAUUUUGGUACUAAGAAAAAAGUUUUUAAAUGUGUUCAAUAAUACAUAUUAACCUUUUUUUUCAACUUUGAGCUUUUGAACUUUCAUGACGCCACUGAAUUUUUUUUUCAACAGUGCGCAUGGACGCCAAUUGGCGUCUUAGUUAUUUUCGUUGAUUUUUUUUUAGAAAUUCAAGGAAGUAUAUAUAUAUAAUUAAAUAAACAAUAUACAAGUAUUACAAAACCAUUAAUAAAAUUGAUUUUUAUUAUCUGAAAACUAAAAAUUAAAAAAAAAAAAAUUAUUGUGUGUGAAACGAUAUAAAAAAAUAUGAAUAGUAUUAAUUAUUAUUGAUUACUUAUACAGGUAUGUAAAAAUUUAAAAUUUAAAAAAAAAUGCAAUUUAUUCUGUAUGAAAUUUUUGAAAACAUGUUGUUAUACACAAACUUGGUUUUGUAGGGCAAGCGUCGCAGUAGUAUGUACUAUCUUUUCUAAUACCAUUUUUGUAGCACAGCUGACAUCUUUUUCGCAAAUUUCUCCCAUUUCCACCCAUUCCAUGCGUAGAUGGUAUAUGUUUUUCGAUGCUCAACGAUUUCGAAGGUUUUUCCGGCUUAGGUAAUAUUUUACUUAGAACAAUUAUGCGAAAAUCAUAUAAACUUAAUGUUUUACCGAUAUUAUAUUGAUUAUACAAAUUAUACGAGUUCAAGAGUAGCAUUUGUAUAAUAUGUAUGCCUAGCUUUUUGUACCACCUGAUCGUUUUUCUUGUAAAAGGGUAAUAACUAUUCAUCUGGUCCUGUCUGUCGAUACCACUCAUAAACUUGUUGUAUUUUUUAAUUGGUAAUGGUUUAAGAGUUUCUCUACCCUUACGAUUAGUCGUUGGCACCAUAUCAUUUUCAAACUCAGAUGAGAUGUACGUCACCUCCCUUUUGUCUUUCCACUUUCCUAUCAUAACAUUGUUUGAAUAUUUUGAAACUGUUUCUCCAACUUUGAGUUUAGCAGUUACUACGUCCUUUGGAGUAUUUAGUCUAUUCGCCCUCAACGUGCCGGUACAAUAGGUAUUUUUUUCGAGCAAUUUUUGAGCCAAAUCAUAACUAUUAUAAAAAUUGUCCAUGAAAAUUGAGUGACCUGUGUUUAAUUUUUCGUCCAUCAGGUGUAAAACAACAUUUGCCGCAUGCCCUUUUCCACCCAAAUCAUCAGAAGCCCCAGUAUAUACUGCAAAUUUAAUUAUAAUACCAUUAGGCUCAGUAAGCAUGUAUAAUUUUAUACCGUAUUUAUGACGUUUAUUCUGAAUAAACUGCCUGAAUAAAAGACGUCCUCGCCAUAGUACCAUUGAUUCGUCUAAUGAGAGCUCUUUACCGGGGUAAUACACAUUAUUAAUUUUGUUAUUGAAGUAAUCAAUCAAAGGUCUUAUUUUAAAAAGUCUAUCGGAAUCAUUUGAAUCUACAGAGUUAUCAGAAAAAUGUAGAUUUCGCAUAAUAAGAAAAUAACGAUCUCUACCCAUAUAGUUUGAAAAACAAGUUAAAUUAAAAAGAUGAUGUUUUUUCCAAUAGUCAUUUAUUCGGUUUAAUUGUAUUGUUCCCGUAUGGAUAGUGAGACCUAUAAAUGUCAACAUUUCUUCAGGAGUAACUGGUUUCCAAAGUGAUAUACGACUUCUUGGGUUCGCAGAAAGUCUAAGAAAUUCAUACUCGGCAUAUUUGUUAGUUUCGUUCACCAAUAAAUUCAAAAAUGUGUCGUCCAAAAGUAAUCUAAAAAAAAUCAUACGGAUUUCCUUCUCCUGGUAUAGGUACAAGAAGUUGUUUUUGUUUAGUAAAUGGAAAUUGUUGCAAAUUUGGAUUAUCUUGCCAAAAAAUUUGAGGGGGUCGAGUAACACAAUUAGAAACAUCAUCGAAACUAUUAGGCACUUCAACUUCAUCUUCGCUUUCAGAUGAGUUUUCGUCACAUAAAAUCCCUACACUACAUUCGCUACCAGAAUCGUCAAAAUCAAAAAGAUUGUCUUCUUCGUCGGAGUCUAAAAGCAGCUGAAUUUCACGUUCAUUAGGGAAUUUACCAACACACGCCCUUUUAGGUCGUGACGGACCAGCCUGAUCUCUAUCCAUGAUAAUUAACAAUAUAAUACCUACCAAAGAAAAAUAUCAAUUUCAAACUUUGUAUUUGUCAUAUCGUAUAGCGAAAUAUAAGAAAUAACUUACCAGAGGAGCAGCUAACGUCCACCACUGACGAUAAAUAAAUCGAAAAUAAUAAUAUUUAUACGCUGUCAAUAAAGUCGAGAUUUAUUAUAAUAUGGUCUAUCAAUAAUAAGAUAAUUUGUAAUUGUGUCGGGAUAUGCAUAAAAAAAUAAACAGAUAAAGAUAUGUCCAAUAAUAUCGAUUAAACUAAAAAACAAUAGUAUUCUAAAAAUAACAAAGAAACUGCUCCUAUAUGGUCAUACAUCCAAACGGCGUAUGAAUACAUAUUUUAAAACAUGCGUUUAAUCACGCUAAAUAAUAAAAAAACCACAUUAAGCAACGCGUAACGAGUAAUAAACCAUUUACUUUUAAUAUAUUGUGGACGCCAUUUGGAGUCAAACGCGUUGCUGAUUGAUACUCAUGACACCAAUUGGCGUCAGUACGCAGUCAACGUGUUAAAUGAUACCUAUGUUAGUAAUCACUUUUCUUUGUGCGAUUUAAAAUUAAUAUUUCCAUGGUCUACUAUUUUAUAAUCGUUCUUCUUUGUGCGAUUUAAAAUUAAUAUUUUCAUGGUCUACUAUUUUAAUAAUACCUCAGUUAGUAAUCAAUUUUCUUUGUGCGAUUUAAAAUUAAUAUAUUCAUUGUAUACUAUUUUAUGAUACUUCAGUUAUUAAUCAC